CGAGGUAGGGACUAGGAACAGUUAAACAGGGAGCAAUGAAGAAGCUGGCAUUUCACUAUUUUUUAUUUUAUUUUUUAUAAAUCUGUCCAUAGGCAUAGUUGAGUUUUAACCUCAAAGUGAAUUCACUAUGUAAUGAAAUAUAGUCUCUAAUAUUGUCUGAUUAUAACUAGUUUGUCCUGCAUCACUCCUUCAGCCUAGACCUACUGCAUCAUAUUACAUAACAGGCCACAGCCCCAUCAUGAGCAAGAAACCAAGAUGGCAUCUCAGAGACUCAGACUAUCCGCUGUCAUACUAAUAAUGAUGUCACUAAUGGUCACAUAGCCCCCACCAAGCUUGUUACCAUCCAGGCAUCCUUAUUUUCAGAUUUCGUCCAGACUGAAAUGAUACUACUCUGGAGAGGGGUGGCUAUAGAAUGUUUAUGUGAAGAAUCAAUUGCUUGGCCAGAAAAGAGAGAGGGGCACACCUACUGGUAGAAAGGACCUGGAUGAUGAAGAACAGACACAAGGAUAAUAUUUUGUUUUGUUUCGUCAAGUCUACCAGCGGUUUUCCCCUCGGUUCCUGUCUAUUGAUUGUUCCUGUUUUUCACGGUUUUUACCUUUUCUGCCUGCCCUGAGCCUGCCUGACGUCCUGAACCUUUGCCCCGCUACUCUGGAUACCGACCUCUGCCUGCCCUGAGCCUGCCUGACGUCCUGAACCUUUGCCCCACUACUCUGGAUACCGACCUCUGCCUGACCUGACCCUGCCUGCCGUCCUGUACCUUUGUCCCACUACUCUGGAUUAUCAACCUCUGCCUGCCUUGACCUGUCUUUUGCCUGCCCCUGUUGCUGUAAUAAACAUUGUUUCAUUUGGGUCUUACCUGAAACGUGAUAGUAAUCAGUUACUCCCCAACCCUGGCUGGGACAGUAGGAUUUAUCUGGAAAAACAACAAAAAACUUAGCCAGGACCCACAAAUAAAAACAUUUUUCUGUCCGA